rnacentral:rRNA from 1 species
AUUACGGGAGGCAGCAGUGGGGAAUAUUGCGCAAUGGGGGAAUCCGGGAUGCACCAACUCCGCGUGAGUGACAGCGCUUUUCGGAUUGAAAACCUCCGUCUUCAGGGCGGAUAAUGUCGGUCAGGGAGGAGGCCACACGCCAUAUUCCGCGCCAGCACCCGCGGUAAU